AAGCUGUUGCGGUUAAAAAGCUCGUAGUUGGAUAUCAGUGCGUGUCCGGUCCGGUAUGCCUGGCGCUGUCGCUCACGCGGCAAUGCUGGGCUCCCAAAUAUCGGCUGGCCGCAUUCAAUCGUGCCGGAUCCGUCGACGGGCCGUUUUUCGGAGGGGCCUGUUGGCGACCGGCGACGUUACCUUGAACAAAUUAGAGUGCUCAAAGCAGGCUCUGAAUGCCUGUAUACAUAUUCAUGGAAUUGGAGAAUACGUCCCUGGCUCGAUUUGGUUGGUUUUGAGAGUCGAAGGGAAAUGAUUAAUAGGGACUGACGGAGGCAUUCGUAUUGCGACGCGAGGGGUGAAAUCCUGUGACCGUCGCACGACGAACUACUGCGAAAGCAUUUGCCGAGAAUGUUUUCAUUAGUCAAGAACGAAAGUUAGAGGUUCGAAGGCGAUCAGAUACCGCCCUAGUUCUAACCGUAAACGAUGUCGACCAGCAAUCCGCAACGGUCACUACACGGACUGUGCGGGCAGCUUCCCCGGGGAAACCAGAGUUUUUGGACUCCGGGGGAAGUAUGGUUGCAAAGCUGAAACUUAAAGG
rnacentral:rRNA from 1 species